rnacentral:lncRNA from 1 species
AAUAACAUCAUCAGUAACAACAACAACAAAAACAUUACAGCAACAUCAAGAACAAUAACACCAAUAAACAACCUCUAGGAUUUAUUGUCUCAAUAACUUGAACAACAACAUCAACAAAAGUAACAUCAAUAAUAACAAAAAAAACAACAAGAAAACCUCUAGGGUUUCAGAUCUCAACAACACACCAAUAACAACAACAACAACAACAACAAC